rnacentral:tRNA from 1 species
GCGUUCAUAGCUCAGUUGGUUAGAGCACCACCUUGACAUGGUGGGGGUCGUUGGUUCGAGUCCAUUGAACGCACCA